CAUGGGGGAAACCCUGAUGCAGCGACGCCGCGUGAAGGAAGAAGUAUCUCGGUAUGUAAACUUCUAUCAGCAGGGNAAGAUAGUGACGGUACCUGNACUAAGAAGCCCCGGCUAACUACGUGCCAGCAGCCGCGGUAAUACGUAGGGGGCAAGCGUUAUCCGGAUUUACUGGGUGUAAAGGGAGCGUAGACGGUGUGGCAAGUCUGAUGUGAAAGGCAUGGGCUCAACCUGUGGACUGCAUUGGAAACUGUCAUACUUGAGUGCCGGAGGGGUAAGCGGAAUUCCUAGUGUAGCGGUGAAAUGCGUAGAUAUUAGGAGGAACACCAGUGGCGAAGGCGGCUUACUGGACGGUAACUGACGUUGAGGCUCGAAAGCGUGGGGAGCAAACAGGAUUAGAUACCCUGGUAGUCCAAGGGCGAAUUC
rnacentral:rRNA from 1 species